ACAGAUUUGUUGCACUUACUGGCGGCCAAAAAAUUUCUGAAAUGAAUAAGUAAAUGGUAAAACAAUUAUUGAACUAGGUUAUCGCAAAAUAUUGCGAUUUGUCAGACUGGCUCGCAGAUCAAUUACUUGCCUCUGUCUUCGGCAUCAGCAGAUCAAUUCCCAUAUAAGCACUUCAUCCCGGCUAGACAACAAUUAAACAACAACAACGACAACAAUUUAUUUGUACCACAAAGAAAAAAGGCUAGGCGGG